GACGAACGCUGGCGGCGUGCUUAACACAUGCAAGUCGAACGGUAAGGCCCUUCGGGGUACACGAGUGGCGAACGGGUGAGUAACACGUGGGUGAUCUACCCUGCACUUCGGGAUAAGCCUGGGAAACUGGGUCUAAUACCGGAUAGGACCACUGCCUGCAUGGGGGGUGGUGGAAAGCUUUUGCGGUGUGGGAUGGGCCCGCGGCCUAUCAGCUUGUUGGUGGGGUGAUGGCCUACCAAGGCGACGACGGGUAGCCGGCCUGAGAGGGUGACCGGCCACACUGGGACUGAGAUACGGCCCAGACUCCUACGGGAGGCAGCAGUGGGGAAUAUUGCACAAUGGGCGCAAGCCUGAUGCAGCGACGCCGCGUGAGGGAUGACGGCCUUCGGGUUGUAAACCUCUUUCAGCACCGACGAAGCGCAAGUGACGGUAGGUGCAGAAGAAGGACCGGCCAACUACGUGCCAGCAGCCGCCGUAA
rnacentral:rRNA from 1 species